rnacentral:rRNA from 1 species
GACGAACGCUGGCGGCGUGCCUAAUACAUGCAAGUAGAACGCAGUUGCGAACGGGUGAGUAACGCGUAUGUAACUGCCUCAUAGCGGGGGAUAAAUAUUGGAAACGAUAGCUAAUACCGCAUACUGUGAGAUGGACCUGCGUUGUAUUGGCUAGUUGGGGGGGUAAAGGCUCACCAAGGCGACGAUACAUAGCCGAGCUGGGAGGGUGGUCGGCCACACUGGGAACUAGAAAAGGCCCCGAAUCCUACGGGGGGCAGCCAGAGGGGAUUAUCGGAAAUGGACGGAAGUCCGAACGCGCACAGCCGGGGGAGUGAAGAAGGGUUUCGGAUUGUAAAGCUCCGUUGUGAGAGAAGCGGUAACUAACCAGAAAGGGACGGCUAACUACGUGCCAGCAGCCGCGGUAAUAC